rnacentral:rRNA from 1 species
CUACGGGUGGCUCCAGUGGGGAAUAUUGCACAAUGGGCGCAAGCCUGAUGCAGCCAUGCCGCGUGUAUGAAGAAGGCCUUCGGGUUGUAAAGUACUUUCAGCGGGGAGGAAGGGAGUAAAGUUAAUACCUUUGCUCAUUGACGUUACCCGCAGAAGAAGCACCGGCUAACUCCGUGCCAGCGGCCGCGGUAAUACGGAGGGUGCAAGCGUUAAUCGGAAUUACUGGGCGUAAAGCGCACGCAGGCGGUUUGUUAAGUCAGAUGUGAAAUCCCCGGGCUCAACCUGGGAACUGCAUCUGAUACGGGCAAGCUUGAGUCUCGUAGAGGGGGGUAGAAUUCCAGGUGUAGCGGUGAAAUGCGUAGAGAUCUGGAGGAAUACCGGUGGCGAAGGCGGCCCCCUGGACGAAGACUGACGCUCAGGUGCGAAAGCGUGGGGAGCAAACAGGAUUAGAUACCCGUGUAGUC